GCUCAACCACUCGUUCCUCUGUGCUAAAUCUGACGCGUAAUGAUGACGUUGUCGCCUAAACGACGUUUUCCACUUUUCCUCUUGUCAACAUUCAUAUGAAAAUCUUUAGCUAGCUAUCAACCCUCGACCACUGGUUCUACCAGUAAGGUUAGCUAAUAGUUACUUGUUACAAAUGUUUGUUUUCCCCUAACGAUUUAGCUUGCAGACUAAAGGAAACGAUAUGGGUCAUUUUCAAAUGAGCUGAAAACGUGCAGUAUCGUAUUGAAAUAGAAGUAGCCUAAGUCCCGAUUGGAGAAGGGCUCUUGUGGAGUGGAGCAGCCUGGAGUGAGUGACCAACCAUGGGCCGUCUGGACGAUGCUGCCAAGUGCAAGGUGGUGGAGCUGCGGCAGGCGGGCCUGAGCUUCCGCAAGAUCAAGGCGGUGCUGGAGCUGGAGAAUAUCCGGGUGUCUGCCCAGGCCAUCUACCUGUACCUCAAGGAGUUCCAGAGGAAGAAGGUCCAGAGGGGUGGUGAAAGUGCUGCAGCCCCAGAGCCACAGACCACACCUGGGGUUGGGGCAGGGAGGGGAGAUGGUGGAAGCCGGGAGGGCUGGAACGACCAGCAAAUACGUAAUCUACUGCGGGAGGCGUCAUGCCACGCAGGCUAUGUUGCGGCGUCAGAGUUCGCCAAGCAGUGUCCUGGUUCCACUCCUCCUGAGGUCAGGGGUCAGGGGCCGCCUGGGACAGGAGGUGAAGGCGCCAGCAGAGGACAGAGCAACAGGACAGAGAAACAGGAGGAAGGGAACAAGGAGGAGGAUAAGGACAUCCAGAUUGUCAGUGUCACAUCAUUGGCUCAGAACUCUCAGCAGAGGGGUCUUCCACCUGCAGGAGCAGCGGCUGUGACGGGUGCCUACAUGCGUAAGAGAGCCACACCCUCGCCAGCUACUAACCCCAUACUGGCAGCACGCAAAAGGCUUCUGGAUAAGGCUUUGUCUCAUAGAGCAAAGAUAAGAGAUUCUUCUUAUCAGUCCUACCAGCAGGUAGCAGCUCUGUUAAGAGAACAGUCUAGUGCUCCUGGUUCUGAUGUCCAGAGACCUGUGUCAGCAGAUCAACCACAGUCCUAUGACCCAGUCGCUCAGAGGCUUACUCAAGCGAGGAAUUUGGAUGGCCAGCAAGGAGCCAGUGUUCCCAGACAGAUGUUCCAGCAGAGAGUCGGUGGCCAAGCUGUCCGCUCCCCACACCCUGCUCCUCCCCGUGUGGGCAUCCGGCUCCCCAACUCCCCACCACCACCACCCACCUCCCAGGGUAGUAGCCCUGUCAUCCGCCUCCAAAGCCCUGGGAGCCAGGGAAUGAACCAGGGCCUUCUCAGGAGAGACAGGAACCCCAGCCCUCAGCAGGCAGCUCAUCAGGAGGCCGGAGGGAGGGGAGGGGGUGGUGGUGGGGGUCUCCAGGAGCAGGUCCAGACCCUGGGCUCUGAGAUCCACAGCCUGAGCCUGGCGGUGCGCAUGCUGGUGGAGCAGCAGUACCGGCUGGAGAGGGAGCAGGUCCAGCAGACCCAGGUCCAGAGGCAGAUUCUCAGCACCCUGCAGACCCUGGCCUCAAGACUGGAGGCACCCUGUACCAGCCUCCACCAGCGACAGCAUCCCAAAACUCCCCCACCCCCGGUCUUACCUGCCUCAGGCUCUGCCUCCUACAGCCAGGACACAUUCCCCUUCAGCCAAGGAGGGUAUGCUCAGUGCAGCCAGGCCCAGCCCAGCUACAAUGGGAUGGACAGCUCCAGUCUGGAGACCAUAGAGACCUUCAAACUGUCCGGACAGAGCCCCCAUGGCAUCAACGGCUUCCAGACGGGCAGCAGCAGUAGUACCACCGAUAGCCUCCCGCUCACACACACCCCUACAUACACGCUGGCGCACACACAGCCUCACUCGUCAGCCUACACACAGCAGCCACACACUCAAACACACAUGCCCUCAUGCACACAGUCUUACGCCACCACAUACACGCAGUCACACACACAGUCCUAUAGAGGAACAGACAGUACAGACUAUCCCAGCACCAGCACAGAGGGAGCUCUCCAGGACUGCAUGGCCCCCACCCAGGCCUCUGAUUACCUGGACUCAGACAUCACAGUCUCCCCACAGGAAACCCAGCUCAACAUCAUUAAAGUGGAGGCACUCUAA
rnacentral:lncRNA from 8 species